rnacentral:rRNA from 1 species
GGCGCAGGCGGGAAGGAAAGUCAGACGUGAAAGCCCGGGGCUCAACCUCGGAAUUGCAUUUGAUACUUCCUUUCUUGAGGGUAGGCGGAGAAAACAGAAUUCCACAAGUAGCGGUGAAAUGCGUAGAUAUGUGGAAGAAUACCGGUGGCGAAGGCGGUUUUCUAGCUUAUACCUGACGCUGAGGCCCGAGAGCUAGGGGAGCGAACA